ACGGGUGAGUAACGCGUGAGCAACCUGCCUUUCGGAGGGGGACAACAGCUGGAAACGGCUGCUAAUACCGCAUAACGUAUUUGGGUGGCAUCAUCUGAAUACCAAAGAUUUAUCGCCGAAAGAUGGGCUCGCGUCUGAUUAGCUAGUUGGUAGGGUAACGGCCUACCAAGGCUUCGAUCAGUAGCCGGACUGAGAGGUUGAACGGCCACAUUGGGACUGAGAUACGGCCCAGACUCCUACGGGAGGCAGCAGUGGGGAAUAUUGGGCAAUGGGGGCAACCCUGACCCAGCAACGCCGCGUGAAGGAAGAAGGCUUUCGGGUUGUAAACUUCUUUGACCAGGGACGAAAAAAAUGACGGUACCUGGAAAACAAGCCACGGCUAACUACGUGCCAACAGCCGCGGUAAUACGUAGGUGGCAAGCGUUGUCCGGAUUUACUGGGUGUAAAGGGCGCGUAGGCGGGAAUGCAAGUCAGAUGUGAAAUGCUGGGGCUUAACCCUGGAACUGCAUUUGAAACUGUAUUUCUUGAGUAUCGGAGAGGCAGGCGGAAUUCCAAGU
rnacentral:rRNA from 1 species